UGCCCCAGUAUAAAUUUCAUAAAAGGAUUAUUUCUGUUUUCAGAUCAAGCUCCAGAGACUGUCAUCAAACACUCACCGUUCUUGUCAAGAAUAAUGGAUUCGCACCAAAAAAAACAAGAGAAAGAAAAACAAAUUCAGUUUUCCAUCUCCAUUCAGGACCAAUACAGAUUAUUUUGUCCGUCUACACCCUUGGAGUGCUGUGAGCAGAAUAACGUUUAUCAGCGGGCACUGCAGAACCCAGGAUUCAUUUAGCUUCAGAGUUGUGCAAGGAUAUUCCGAUGUUAUUCUAAACGUCAGAGAAAUCAUCUGCUGAAGUAACAGAGAAUGACGAGGGUCAGCUUUUGACGGAGGCGAAGAUCGCAGUGCACCAGGUCUGGAGCGUGGCACCUCCCGCUGGAUUACCAUCUUCCCGAGAAGCCAUUCGUGCCAGCGUACUCAUCGCCCUGCGCUCUCACUGUGACUGGGUGAGAGGGAGGGCUGCCCCCUCCUUCCAGCUCUCCAGGCAUACGUCCCCUCCUGAGAUCCACAAACCUUUCACAUGGGGUUUCUCAUCCGAGGCACCCUCAGAAGCGCCUUAGUCCAAUCUUCACACCAAAGCAGAUACAACCGCAGUGUGUCCAUCCAGACACAGAUUCAAGUUGCAGAGUAUGAUACCUAGGUGCACACUCCAUGCACACUAGGUCCAUGCACACUAGGUCCGUGCACUAGGUGCACACUCCAAUCGUUUUGCGCACUCCGUGGCCUGUCUGCCUGAGUGUCUUGACUUUUAGCCCAUCUGUUCAUAUCACUCCAUUGUAUCCCUCCAUUUUACAAACAGGCACCAGUGAAACGCAAGAAAUGGGGUCUUAUUUGAAGUCUUUUGCUGAACAGAUGACUACAUCA
rnacentral:lncRNA from 1 species